CAUCAUGAUGAUCAACUCUUUCAAAUAUACGCUGGAAAUUACCGGCUGAAUUACAUUGACGACAUAAAAUGGCUAUGACUGAUC
rnacentral:snoRNA from 1 species